CAGAGGAUGAGAAUCUGCUGACAAAUUAAGGGACCAAUGAUGUCCGGAUGUCAGACUCUGCAGAGAAGAUGGAGCUGGAAAAAGUCCAGAUGGGGAUGAAAAGGAAAGACAACAGAGAAGAUAUCACUCAGGUUUCUCAAGCGUAGUACACCUGGGGGACGAUAAAGCUGUUAAGAUGCUGAAUUUGAUUAUUCGCAACAGAAGAAAAGGACAGAUUGUACUCGGCAACGUAAUCACAGAUGUGUAGGGAGGUAUUCGCUGAACCGAAAAUCUUCUUUUUCUCUGAACAUCAAGGAGAGCAGAUCUGCAGAAUGCGCUGUGAAUAAUGGGAGCUCUGAACAUUUCCCAUUUGGGGUUUAUCGGCCAUUUAAUGACUUGAUGGAGGAUAAUGCAGAGAUUUGGAGGAAAUUUACAGGGAGAUCUCAGGUGACUGUAAGUACAGGCUGAUACCGGAGGACGUUAAUCUAGAGCGUGCCAAGCUCCGCUCUUCAGAGAACCGGCUCAUAAUGAGAAAACUGGAAUCAGGACACUUACACUUCAAGGGGCACAUUAUAAUUAAACGGGUCAGGAACCUUUUAUCUAUAAAGCUGUAGAGACAAGAAAAAAGUCACUCAGUCAUAUAAACCUUAUAGGGUUAUAUCCAGCGGGGGUGCCCCUAGUACCUGGGAUCUGCUGAACCUCCGAACCGUUCAUUAUAGGAUGACUUAAAUGAUAAAAUUGCAAUUGCA